AAUAAUAUACCAAAUUGUUUCAAAUGUGUUAACUUCUUGUUAAAAAAUACAAUUUUUGUGAAUAUUUGAAACUUUAAGUACCUUUGUGAAUAACCAGAUAUGUUUUUGGCGUAACAUAAAAUUGUCAGAACAUUUAUGACCGUAAAUGUAUCGAUUUCGAGCGUUUAUUCUAAGCGUAAGUAAGAAAGUAUUGUAAUAUGGUUCAUCCGACGAAUCGCUUCUUUUAAUUUGGUUUGUUUGCCAAGAUAAAUUUGUAUCAUAUUCAGAUAUGUUUAUUACCAUUAUAACUAUUCACAUUUUUUUCGUAUUACUAUUUUCUACAUUUACUUCCUGUUUUUUUAUUCCAUCAACUCCCCCAGCUCUCUUAAAAUACGACAAUAUAUGGUUAUUCCAUCUAGAAAAGUUUGAAUCCCUAUAUGUUCAUCAUGGCCGUGUAAUCGCACAGGCGUGUUGAUAAUGGGCGAAAAACUGACGACUGGUAUUUCCGCGUUUCGUAAAUGUCGACUGUCUGUACGACCUGGGAACAUUUGAACCUCUCUAAAAUAAACAAUUGUUUUAGUGACCGUUUAGGUACAAAUACGUACACUUCUUCAACCGCUUUUUCAAAAGUAACCCAAUAUGGAUCGUUGAUCCGUGUUGGGUUAAUCGGUAGUUCCUGGAGUGUAUAGUCAAUCAAUACACUAUUACUAACGUCGUGGCACCAUUGAUCCAUUGUUGGUUCUAAUUCAUCUACAUCCAUUCUUUCAAAGGGAAUGCGACAAUCAAAAUAUAGCACAAAUUCUGAUGGGACCAUAUUCCUUCGACCACCACCCUAUAAUACAGAUUAUACAGAAAAACAGUAUUUACACAAUAUCGUUUCCUACUUCAAUUUUUGUUAGAUUAAUGCUGAUGACAUUUGCAAGCGUCCAGUCAGGGUUGGCUGUCAGUUUUUCCAUUUCCAUUGUUCUGAAAGCGAAAAAUUUCUGCAAAACACGACUCAUUCUUUCUCCCGGAGUGUCGUCCAACAAGAGCUCUGCGUCUCCAGAGGUGCCUUGACAGCAUACUCGUAUAUCUAAAAACAAAUAUCACUUUCGGUUUUUUUACCCGUUAAACCUUACUCCAGGCAUAUUUUUCCCCAUUAAACGCGACAAACUUAUCUCCAAGAGUCGCCAUUCCUGAAUCUAGCGCAAAUCCAAUGUUAAGUUUUCCAAAAUCUUCCCAGUCUGUAAAUGCACCCAUGCCUUUCAAACCACCUAUCUCUGCAUCUACAAGAAACCUUUAUUCAACAUGUCAGAAAAAAUCGUGUUUUACCUGGCAUAUAACUCAAAUAGAUCGUUCGUUUUAAAACCGUUUUGGAUCUUUUCAAGCGUCUCACAGCUUCAAGAUAUUGAAUGCCGAUACAUUUCGAAUCUUGGGCGCCCCUAGCGUAAAUAUUUUGAUCUUCAAUUUCGACAGCAAAGGGGUUGUGAGACCAUUCGCUUAUAACAACGGGUGAAACGUCUAUGUGGCUGUUGAGGAGUAUUGCUGGAAGAGCCGGUUCGGUUCCCAUCCAAGUCAUCAAAACAAUGGGUUUGCCUUCCACUAAAUUGAGUACUUGCAUAGGUAGCUGCAAACUUUCGGCCAUCGUUCCAAGAAAUUCCACGCAGGUGUCUAUGAAUCUAGUGUAGUUACGAAAUUUUGGUUUAUUGGUACUCACCGUAGUUAACAUUCGGUUGUACGGAAGGAAUUUGCAAAUAUGAGUUAAAAUUCAGAAGCGCUAUUUCGUCUUCAGUUUGCAACCCCAGAGUUUCGAGAACUUCAAUCAUUUUGGCUGUUUAAUGAGGUUUUGGUUGUAGGUAUGAAAAAAGUUAGACGUCGGAAGGUUUUGUGAUGCUUCUUUCUUAUUAUCAGAUAAUAGAAGUAAAUAAAGUUAAUUGUUCCCCAUUGAGGUAGAAUUUGGCUGUAGAUUUCAAUUCCCUUAGAAAUAAUAUCUCCCUAUUCAAGUAUUCAUCGACGUUAUGUAAAACAGCUUGGUGUCAUGAGUGAGAAACACCUAGGAUGUGGCGUCUUCGCAUAUUUCCGUUUUCCAUUUCAGUCGUUUGAAAAUUUGGUUACUGUUUGUUUUUUUGUAUUGCUCCUUACAGUUUACCAGUUGUUUACUUAAAAGCAACCCAACAGAUGUUGGAAUUGUUCAGUGUAGGUACCUGUUGAUAGUACCGGAGACUGUUUAUGCCCAAAUUUCAUCUAAACUCCUUUACCAGCAUUUUAACACAAUACUGUGAAAUGUUUAAUUCAAUGAAAUAAAACACUUAACAUUAUUUUUAAAAAUUUAUUGUGUUUCCGUGAAUCUGAAGCUUAUACAUAUUUGGCGCUGUCUUCGACCUCAUAGGGCUAAGGGGAUUGGACUGUUGCGCAGGUAGAUUUUUAAAGGUAGAAUAUAGACUGUAAUUUCAAAAAAGGAGGAUUGUUAAACAAAUAUGAAUCGGAUUCGAUGCCGUAGUUCAUAGCGAGCGAAAUUAGUACAAUAUUAGUUUCUCACAUAUGUAAAACUGUGACUAUUCCAUAAACACGUAUAAGUGAUUGUGAAUCAGGCUGUCUAGUCGACUGCUUCCUUUGCAGGGAUGGAAGUAAGUCUCACGAGUGCGAGUGUUUAAAACCCAUGGCACGUUUAAAACCACUGGCAAAUAAACCUCCAUGAAGAGACGCCCUUCGCGCCGCUGUUGCUACGUAUCUUCACGCUGCAUGGUACUGUCUCUCUCUCUCUGUGGCUGGCUUAAUCGGCAAUUGCACUUUUGAGGGACAAAACAUCGAAGCACGGUGUAUAGCCUCAAAAACUAGUGCAGCACCUCACGAAAUUCAAAUUCAGUUUGCAGAUUAUUCAGAUUACAGACAGUGGAACUGUGUCUGCAGCUGCAAAGCAGGAGCAGGAGGGAAAUGUAAGCACAUAGUUGCCACCCUACUUGCUCAGAAUAUAGGCCUGCUUAGUUGCACCGAUGUUCCCCAGGCAUGGGGCAAACGGAAGCGGGAAGAACUAGUAGAAGUUGUUCCUGUGGAACAAUUUUGCCAUGUUAAGUCAUCGAAGCAUUCCAAAUGUGGUAUGGCAGGAAUUAUUCCAGAAGAUUUCGUACAAAAGUGCUUUGAAGUUCUCCCGAAUUUUGGAGCUCCCAUGCUGUUCAAUCCUGAAGAUAGGUCUAGGUUGUAUCAAAUAAUUGUUAUAAAUGGCAUCAUCAAGCCUUAGCAAUUGUUAAUGAUAUAAACACAUCUUUAUUUAAAAGUUUUUGCUGCUGCUGUUUUUUUUUUUCUUUUGCAGGGAUGAUCUCUUCAGUGCAAUUUGCGACAAUGCUUAUCGGAGCGAAUUGAGUGAGGUUCAAGAUGUUACACCUUAUUUACAUACAGUCAGGAUGACUGGCAUACCAAAGCCGUGAAAUAUUUUUAUCCCAAAUCAUUUAAGGGAACCUAUGCCACAAGAUAUGGCAACAACCAAAAAGAUUUUGCCCGGCAAGCAUAUAUGACCAAUCUCCCAAGUGCCGAAACUGUAAUCCAGUGUGGGUUGAUUGUGUGCCAAAAGAAUCCAUGGUUGGCCUGUUCUCCUGAUGGCAUUGUGUUUCGGGAUAAACGACCAAUUCGUUUAUUGGAAAUUAAGUGUCCUAUUUUAGGUG